GACGAACGCUGGCGGCGCGCUUAACACAUGCAAGUCGAGCGAGAACCUAGGCUUCGGCCUAGGGGACAGCGGCGAACGGGUGAGUAACACGUGAGUAAUCUGCCCUCGACAUCGGGAUAGCCCGGGGAAACCCGGAUUAAUACCGAAUAGCCCAUCCGCCUUUCGGGGCGGCUGGAAAAGGUAGCUUUGGCCUCCGGUCGAGGAGGAGCUCGCGGCGGAUUAGCUUGUUGGUGAGGUAAUGGCCCACCAAGGCGACGAUCCGUAGCUGGUCUGAGAGGGUGAACGGCCACACUGAGACUGAGACACGGCCCAGACUCCUACGGGAGGCAGCAGUAGGGAAUCUUGCGCAAUGGGCGAAAGCCUGACGCAGCGACGCCGCGUGCGGGACGAAGGCCUUCGGGUUGUAAACCGCUUUCAGCAGGGACGAAGCGAAAGUGACGGUACCUGCAGAAGAAGGUCCGGCCAACUACGUGC
rnacentral:rRNA from 1 species